rnacentral:rRNA from 1 species
AUGAACGCUGGCGGCGUGCCUAAUACAUGCAAGUCGAGCGAACGGACGAGAAGCUUGCUUCUCUGAUGUUAGCGGCGGACGGGUGAGUAACACGUGGAUAACCUACCUAUAAGACUGGGAUAACUUCGGGAAACCGGAGCUAAUACCGGAUGAUAUUUUGAACCGCAUGGUUCAAAAGUGAAAGACGGUCUUGCUGUCACUUAUUGAUGGAUCCGCGCUGCAUUAGCUAGUUGGUAAGGUAACGGCUUACCAAGGCAACGAUGCAUAGCCGACCUGAGAGGGUGAUCGGCCACACUGGAACUGAGACACGGUCCAGACUCCUACGGGAGGCAGCAGUAGGGAAUCUUCCGCAAUGGGCGAAAGCCUGACGGAGCAACGCCGCGUGAGUGAUGAAGGUCUUCGGAUCGUAAAACUCUGUUAUUAGGGAAGAACAUAUGUGUAAGUAACUGUGCACAUCUUGACGGUACCUAAUCAGAAAGCUACGGCUAACUACGUG